rnacentral:rRNA from 1 species
AGCAGCCGCCACGGGAAUACAGAGGGUGCGAGCGUUAAUCGGAUUUACUGGGCGUAAAGCGUGCGUAGGCGGCUAAUUGAGUCGGAUGUGAAAUCCCCGAGCUUAACUUGGGAAUUGCAUUCGAUACUGGUUAGCUAGAGUGUGGGAGAGGAUGGUAGAAUUCCAGGUGUAGCGGUGAAAUGCGUAGAGAUCUGGAGGAAUACCGAUGGCGAAGGCAGCCAUCUGGCCUAACACUGACGCUGAGGUACGAAAGCAUGGGGAGCAAACAGGAUUAGAUACCCCUGUAGUCCCUGUCUCUUAUAC